CUAGCAGUUUCAUAUCCCUUACGGGACAAAAAAAACUUUCCUAUUCUUCGCAUUUUUUCUCUGCUUAUUUUUUAUGCUUUCCAUGAUUGCAUCAUUCCAUAGUAACAGUGGGGUCCAUUUUUCGUCCUUCAAAUGACAUCGGGGGAAUGGAAACAUGACUAUCAUGUGUUGAGUGGAGAGGAAUGGAACAUAUGCCGUCACAUUAAUCGACAGAUUCAUCAGCGAUCUUUCUACCCUACAUGGAUACUACGCUUUGACAGGCGAAUCAUUGAAUAAUGUGGGAGCUACACUGGGAUCAGUUACUACCAUUUACAUAUUUGAGUUCUGGAAGUUUCUCAAUCACUUCUUUAAAAAAUUCUGAUUAUAAAAAGUAAUCACUUCAAGAAAACAGGUGAUUUCACAUUACACCAAACACCUUUAGCAAGGGUUUCUAUUAUGAUCUACUUUAAUUUAUGAAGCUGCCAUUUACAUAUUUGAGUUCUGGAAGUUUCUCAAUCACUUCUUAACAAAAAUUCUGAUUAUAAAAAGUAAUUACUUCAAGAAAACAGAUGAUUUUACAUUACACCAAACACCUUUAGCAAGGGUUUCUAUUAUGAUAUACUUAAUUUAUGAAGCUGCCAUUUACAUCUUUGAGUUCUGGAAGUUUCUCAAUCACUUCUUAACAAAAAUUCUAAUCAUAAAAAGUAAUCACUUCAAGAAAACAGAAGGUGAUUUCACUUUACGCCAAACACUAUCAGCGAUGGUUUCAAUGAUGACGUCUUUUGCACGUUGAAAUGCAAUAACUUCUGUUGUGAUUUAAUGUUUACAACGUGAAGAUUUACACUUGUUCCUCGUUAUUCCUGUUUUUCAGGCUCACUUUCAUUUUGCUUAUUGCGUGUUAUUGAUGUUUGAUAUAAUUUUGAUUUUAAAACUUCGCCAGAUGCUACCUUCCAAAGAUUUAAGAGCUACUGGGUACUUCUGAUGAUUCUGCAAAAAGGUAAUCCCGAAUCAGUAAUCCAAAUAUUUUCCUAGAGUUGUUUAAUACUAUUAAGUAACUUUCACUUUUUGACCUGAUCAGGAUCUAUUUGCACAAAAAAUCAUAACCUGCUCGGAAUCAAAUAUAUUGAAAAUUGAUUCAAGAUAAGAAUUUAUCUCACUCACUGAUUUUAUGUAUGUAUGUAUAUAACUGUUAUUCAAAAAAUGAAUAUACCAUGUGUUCUGGGUGUUAUUUCUUAAUGAUGUAAAGAAAAAAAAAUAAAGAAAAAAGUGUAACUUUGUAAA